UACAGAGGUCUCAAGCGUUGUUCGGAUUCAUUGGGCGUAAAGGGUGCGUAGGCGGCGCGGUAAGUCGGGUGUGAAAUCUCGGAGCUUAACUCCGAAACUGCAUUCGAUACUGCCGUGCUUGAGGACUGGAGAGGAGACUGGAAUUUACGGUGUAGCGGUGAAAUGCGUAGAUGUCGUAAGGAAGACCAGUGGCGAAGGCGGGUCUCUGGACAGUUCCUGACGCUGAGGCGCGAAGGCCAGGGGAGCAAACGGG
rnacentral:rRNA from 1 species